UACGUAGGGGGGGCGAGCGUUUGUCCGGAAUCAUUGGGCGUAAAGCGCGUGUAGGCGGCCCCGGUAAGUCCGCUGUGAAAGUCCAGGGCUCAACCCCUGGGAUGCCGGUGGAUACUGUCGGGGCUCGAGUCCGGAAGAGGCGAGUGGAAUUCCUGGUGUAGCGGUGAAAUGCGCAGAUAUCAGGAGGAACACCGGUGGCGAAGGCGGGGUCUCUGGGGCCGAUACUGACGUGAGGAGCGAAAAGCGUGGGGGAGCAAAACAGG
rnacentral:rRNA from 1 species